rnacentral:lncRNA from 1 species
AUUCGAUCUGGUUUAGAAGGAGAAGAUGACAGCAGAGUGAGAAGCAGGGAAGUGGGUGCUGGCAGAAAGAGAAAGGCCAUCUUCUCUGCCUCUGAGCCUGGGUAACAUUCCAGCUCUGUACUCAUUGCACCCCUCUGAGUAUCCAUCUUUUUAUCCAUAAGAUGACAGUGUUGAUCUUCAAGGCCACAUCCACCUCUAACAUCGCUCAUUUCCUAGGGGAGGAAGCAAGAAGGAUUGGGGGCCGUGAAAGGCCACAGUGGUCUGGAGGACAAUAUAUCAACGAAAUCCUGUAAGGACAGGUCUCCCAUUCUAGAUGAGUCUGCAAUCAACAGCUCCUCCAAAACCAUGCCGGCACUUUCAGUGGCCGCAUCUGAUGGGCACUGGAUGGGACCUGUUGCUCUUGGUCCAGGUGAGACCAUAGCUGAUGGCCUUCCCGAAACAACCCAGGAAAAAGCUCCAAGAGGAAUAGUUAGAAUCACGAAGAGAUUGCGACUUGGCCUGAAGUGGAAGGGAUGCCUACCACAGCAUGGCUUGCCAAGCGGUGCCAUGUCCGCACCCGGGAUCCAAACCGGCGAACCCCAGGCCACUGAGAAGCGGAACAUGUGAACUUGACUGCUGUGCCACCGGACUGGCCCAGAGCCUCUGCUUUUAAGGCCCGCUGGAUAAUACAGGAUAAUGUCCCCAUCAAGGUCCAUAAUCUUAAUCACAUCUAUGAUGUCUCUUUGCCAAGUUAGUAACGUAUUCACAGGGCCUGGGGGUUAGGACAUAGAUCUCUUUUGGGGGGAGGGCCUUUAUUCUGCCUAUUAUACUGAUUGUUAAAAAAUCUUCUCCACUUAGCUUCUAGAAUUCCGCUCUUUUCCUCUCUUUGCUCCUAUUAAACUGUCUUCAGCCUUCUUUACUGGAUCUUCCUCCUGAUCUCAACUUUUAAAGGCCAGAGGCAACUUAGCUCAGUCCUCAGACCUCUACACUCACUCUCUAGGAAUCUCCUUCAGGUCAUCGGCCCCACACAAAUCCUCAGCUUUUUGUCUCCAGUCUCAGUCUCUCUCCUGAGCUCCAGAUUCAAGACUAUCAAAAUAUCUGCUUGACAUCUCCUCUUUCCUGGCUAAUAGACACCUCCAACUUAACACGUCCAAAACGGAACUCCGAAUUUUACCCAAAUAUCCUCUCC